GUCUCAUCUACACUUUGGGUGAGACCUUCUUCCCUUCAGGAAGAUUGAAAAUGCCAGCUCAUCUAUAUGAC
rnacentral:tRNA from 1 species